UUAAAAAUACCCAUAAUGCACUCUCACCUGUUUGUGUGAACUAUCGUACACAUGUGUUAUAAUGUAAAACACUGACUGUGCUGUUCUCUUGACCGUUACAUAUAUUUUUUUGAAAGGCGGGGCCAUUCCAAAUACUGAGUGAUAAUUUUUUUUCUCCUUCCUGACAAUUACCAUGACAAUUGUCAUGGUAACAUAUUUGACAGACUUUGUUGACAUGGUAACGUAACAUGCUAGAGCCUCUGCUGUUCCCAUACGAUUCAGGUUUAACCGGCGUGAAUGAAUGUGCUUUGGUCUGAAAGCGAUCCAGAACGUUCUCAGGGCAGAAUGGAGCCCCCCCCCAGACCUAGCCUGGUCCCAGAUCUGUCCGUGCCUUCUUCUUGCCAACGCCUAUGGUCAUUGCCAGCCAAACAAUGCCCAUAGGAUUUGACACGACAGAACAAAUAGAUGUGGGACCAGGCUCCCUCAGACCCCCCCAGUGACUGUAUGAUGGACUGUGUGUUGUUCUGUAUGUAAGAUGUGUGAUCGAUAUGGACAGAGUUUUGAAAAGUCAUUGAGAACAUUCCACUCCAAAACCAUGAAGAAAGUUUUUUCACAAAGUCAUUGUAGGAUCCUCAUGCGAUUUCACUCACUUUAAUUCAUCUUCAAAGAAUGUCCUCUAAAAAUGUAUUGUUGCUGAAAUGCUUUAGUGAAAUAAAUAUGUCAUGUAAAAUGCAACUUCAACAUGAGGGCUUAGAGGAAUCUGGCAACUUCAACAUGAGGUCUUAGAGGAAUCUGGCAACUUCAACAUGAGGUCUUAGAGGAAUCUGGCAACUUCAACAUGAGGUCUUAGAGGAAUCUGGCAACUUCAACAUGAGGUCUUAGAGGAAUCUGGCAACUUCAACAUGAGGUCUUAGAGGAAUCUGGCAACUUCAACAUGAGGUCUUAGAGGAAUCUGGCAACUUCAACAUGAGGUCUUAGAGGAAUCUGGCAACUUCAACAUGAGGGCUUAGAGGAAUCUGGCAACUUCAACAUGAGGUCUUAGAGGAAUCUGGCAACUUCAACAUGAGGUCUUAGAGGAAUCUGGCAACUUC